rnacentral:rRNA from 1 species
UGGUUAAGCUAAUAAGAGCAUAGGGUGGAUGCCUUGGCACUAAGAGCCGAUGAAAGACGUGAUAAGCUGCGAAAAGCUUCGGGGAGGAGCAAAUAUCCAUUGAUCCGGAGAUCUCUGAAUGGGGAAACCUGGCUGGGAAAACCCCAGUCGUCGUAACGUGAAUCCAUAGCGUUACGUCGGGAACCGCCUGAACUGAAACAUCUAAGUAGGGCGAGGAAAAGAAAGAAACAUCGAUUCCGUA